UGUGUGGAAGAAGAGCAGACCGUCACCUGCGGGCCGCAGUUCUGUGAUGGACUGCAAUCAAUCCCUGACGUGCAGCCGCCGAAGAGGAGGUUCAUGCUGACCCGGACGGAUCCCAACCGCAGUCAAGUAGAGAAGAGGAGGAUGCACAACAAGCAGCAGAGCCCAGCACAGCCCACCGGAGCCCAGCCGAGCCCAAGAUAGGAUAGUUAUUCAAGUCACCCUUUUCUCAUUCAUUGAUAUAAAAUAAAAGUAUUGAAGAGGCAUAUCCUUCAUCAUGUAUGAGAAAGAGAGAGAAAGACGAAAUUAUAUAUCCACAAAGCCAAAUCUCUGAAGUACAAACAAAUAUAAUUCACAAUGUUAUUUUUUAAACUGUUUAUUUUUUUCAAUGUUAUUAUUAUUAUUGUGUUAUCAAAUAAAUAAUUUUAUUAUUAUUAUUUUUUAUUUGAAAUGGGUGUCUGAGUUGUAAAGGGGUAUGGGGUCGCUCACUCAGACACGUGGGUUUUCUCCGGGUACUCCGGCUUCCUCCCACACUGACCCCCUUCUUUUUCUCUACGCCAAUGAGAUAAAUAUGUUAUUUUAUAUGUCUUUUAUUAUCUAUCAUUAUUUUGCUAUAAUGUUAUUUUAUUUUAUCGUCAAUUAUUAUCAUAUUAUAAAAUUGAUUAGACUGAGUAGCUGAACUCUAGCUGUUCAGUAGUUUUAGUCAAUAACCUGGGGCAUUACUGUUUGGAACUUCAGGUUCCCUGGGUGCUACAGUUACCAGGCUGGCCUGGGGAGGAGAGGUUGAAAUCACGGGCUGCUUUUUCUUUCAAAAACCUCUCUUUUUGUCUUGCCCAACAUCAAACAAAUUGUAUAUGAAUGUUACAGAAUGAGUAAUUGUUAAAUAUUCUAUUAUUUUUUCUCGAAUGUACAAAUUCAGUUACCUAUUAUAUUAAAAUU